AGUCGAACGGCAGCGCGGGGCAACCUGGCGGCGAGUGGCGAACGGGUGAGUAAUAUAUCGGAACGUACCCAAGAGUGGGGGAUAACGUAGCGAAAGUUACGCUAAUACCGCAUACGAUCCAAGGAUGAAAGCAGGGGACCGCAAGGCCUUGUGCUCCUGGAGCGGCCGAUAUCUGAUUAGCUAGUUGGUGAGGUAAAGGCUCACCAAGGCGACGAUCAGUAGCUGGUCUGAGAGGACGACCAGCCACACUGGAACUGAGACACGGUCCAGACUCCUACGGGAGGCAGCAGUGGGGAAUUUUGGACAAUGGGCGCAAGCCUGAUCCAGCAAUGCCGCGUGAGUGAAGAAGGCCUUCGGGUUGUAAAGCUCUUUUGUCAGGGAAGAAACGGCUGUGGCUAAUAUCCACGGUUAAUGACGGUACCUGAAGAAUAAGCACCGGCUAACUACGUGCCAGCAGCCGCGGUAAUACGUAGGGUGCAAGCGUUAAUCGGAAUUACUGGGCGUAAAGCGUGCGCAGGCGGUUUUGUAAGUCUGUCGUGAAAGCCCCGGGCUCAACCUGGGAAUUGCGAUGGAGACUGCAAGGCUUGAAUCUGGCAGAGGGGGGUAGAAUUCCACGUGUAGCAGUGAAAUGCGUAGAGAUGUGGAGGAACACCGAUGGCGAAGGCAGCCCCCUGGGUCAAGAUUGACGCUCAUGCACGAAAGCGUGGGGAGCAAACAGGAUUAGAUACCCUGGUAGUCCACGCCCUAAACGAUGUCUACUAGUUGUCGGGUUUUAAUUAACUUGGUAACGCAGCUAACGCGUGAAGUAGACCGCCUGGGGAGUACGGUCGCAAGAUUAAAACUCAAAGGAAUUGACGGGGACCCGCACAAGCGGUGGAUGAUGUGGAUUAAUUCGAUGCAACGCGAAAAACCUUACCUACCCUUGACAUGUCAGGAAUCCUGGAGAGAUCUGGGAGUGCCCGA
rnacentral:rRNA from 1 species